rnacentral:lncRNA from 1 species
UGCAGGAUUGUAAAGUCAAAAAGCAAAAGUCAAACCAUCUCAAGUCCGGGACCGUCUCUAUCAGCUUCAAUUCCAGCUCUCCGUGGCAGUUUCAGCAGAAUGAGCCUGAGGCUUCCAGUGCUCAGAGCCACAAAAGCCACUCCCAGACCCUGCAAACGUGGGCCAUGUGGAGACCGCACAUUUUCAACUUGUCACCAAGGCUGUGGCUUUAGCCACACAAUGACUAACAUCCCUGAAUUUCUACAAUAAAUCCAGAACCCUAAAAUUAUGUCUGGGUUUCACAUUUCCUGAUUUUCUUUGGAAUAAAGUUAGCUUUGUUGAUAAACCUUUUGAGGACUCUGCCCUUUAGCAAUUCUGAAAAUGUCUUCCUGACAUUUUCCCUGUAACUAUCAAAUGCUUAAAAAUAAGUAUGUGUAAAAACCUUUUG